rnacentral:lncRNA from 1 species
UAUGUAUGUAUGUAUGUAUUCGAACUGUACUCUUAUAAGCGGUUAAUUUAUCAUUUGAACGUGCAUGACUUUGACAAGAUUGUAUGAAAUUGUAUUGGAGCGAGAUGGAUCAUUUUUCAUGCAGUCCUAAUUGAAAUGAGCUUGAAGCUUAAUUUUGGACAGACUUUAUUUUUCCUCUAAGAAAAUUUAGGGGUUUUGGUGGUUUGUUUUUGUUUUUUUUUUCAGGAAAGAGAAGACUAUAUUAGCUUUUCAAAGUCUACAGAAAGACCUAUAGAGAUCAUUACAAAAUAUGGAUGUGAG